UUCCGGUUGAUCCCGCCGGAGGUUACUGCUAUCGAGGUUCGACUAAGCCAUGCGAGUCGAAUGUAGCAAUACAUGGCGAACUGCUCAGUAACACGUGGACAACCUGCCCUUAGGACGGGGAUAAACCCGGGAAACUGGGUAUAAUACCCGAUAGGUCUCGAUUGCUGGAAUGCAUCGAGAUUUAAAGCUCCGGCGCCUAAGGAUGGGUCUGCGGCCUAUCAGGUAGUAGUGGGUGUAGCGUACCUACUAGCCUACGACGGGUACGGGUUGUGAGAGCAAGAGCCCGGAGAUGGAUUCUGAGACACGAAUCCAGGCCCUACGGGGUGCAGCAGGCGCGAAAACUUUACAAUGCUGGCAACAGCGAUAAGGGAACCUCGAGUGCCAGGUUACAAAUCUGGCUGUCGAGAUGCCUAAAAAGCAUUUCAUAGCAAGGGCCGGGCAAGACCGGUGCCAGCCGCCGCGGUAACACCGGCGGCUCGAGUGGUAACCGUUAUUAUUGGGUCUAAAGGGUCUGUAGCCGGCCGGAUAAGUCUCUUGAGAAAUCUGGCAGCUUAACUGUCAGGCUUUCAGGAGAUACUGUCUGGCUCGAGGCCGGGAGAGGUGAGAGGUACUUCAGGGGUAGGGGUGAAAUCUUGUAAUCCUUGAAGGACCACCAGUGGCGAAGGCGUCUCACCAGAACGGACCUGACGGCAAGGGACGAAAGCUAGGGGCACGAACCGGAUUAGAUACCCGGGUAGUCCUAGCCGUAAACGAUACUCGCUAGGUGUCGGCCACGGUGCGACCGUUGUCGGUGCCGUAGGGAAGCCGUGAAGCGAGCCACCUGGGAAGUACGGCCGCAAGGCUGAAACUUAAAGGAAUUGGCGGGGGAGCACCACAACGG
rnacentral:rRNA from 2 species